UGACGGCACAGGGCAUCUUGUUGUGCCCCAAACACAUCUAGCAUCAGAGUAACAGAAACAAUGGUCCUUCUAUCACUGUUGUCGUUCCCGGUGGUGUCAUGGUAUAGGAAAACCCCACCUUGAGUAGAUCAGUCUCAGAUGGAGUGAUGGGCGACCAAACGUCGCAGCGCUGAUGAGUCUGGCCCACGCAGAAGCUCAGGAAGCCCUUCCUUUUUAUUCCUUUAUCUGAGCUUUUGGCUCUCUAGGGCAGAACUCACUGUCCAGUUUCAUCCGGUUAAUUGCUUCACUUCCCCUGGAAUGCUCUUAUCACAGUCACUGGAAAGGGUCUUCACACCUCUCUUGACACAAGAAACACCUGCAGCCUGUACACAAGCAACUUGACAUCUCUGAACUCUCCUUUCUAGACCCUGCCUUGAUUCAGCAGCUUCACACUUGCACCCAAGAACCUCCAGGCCUCCUCUGUCUCCAGUAGCUCCACUUUCAUCCAACACUCAUCAUAAGGCAAGUAAUUUCAGAGUGCUUCAUCCAGAAAUUGUUCCACCUUCCUGGAACAUUAAUUCCAUCAUUUGUGCUAAAAUUAUAUGAUAUUGCACCUCCACCCCCAGACCAGCUGCUGGAAUGGAUUAGACGCACCCCCCCUCCGAAAGCAACACCCCUUCUCCUCUAAAGCCCUCCCUUCAUCAUGUAUUCUGCUGCAAUUGCUUUAGGGAGCUGGGGUUGCAAGAUGCCCCAAGCAGCAUCACCUCCUUGCCUGUCUUCCUGUUCCUAUAAAGUGUUACUGCUGGACGGCAUUGCUCCAAACCUAUUUAUUUAGGGAGAGCCAUUCUGCUCCCUUCCUGCAGGAAAUGCUGGAAAGAAAAGGACAUAAUUUCUGCAAAUGAUUCACUCCCCGAUAUCCCUUGCUCUGCUCCCCCUUUGCCUGAACACCUUGAAGUUAUUCUGCAGCCAUAUUGACGCUUUCUGCUACCAUCUGCUGCAACCAGUACGGAUAAGCUUUUCUGUGCCAGCCCUCUCCAUCCUCACAUAUCUCCGGGACCCCACUUCCUGCCUAUCACCCCCAAUCUGAACAGGAAGCAACCGCUUUUCCUCUGUUGGUUCAGUGUCGCCUCCCUCCCAGGAACACCUUCUAAUGCAAAAAGGGGAGAACAAAAUCUGUACAAAUGGCUCCUUCUUCCAAAAUCACCCUCUUUUUAAUACGCCAGAUCCUUUGCAUUUCUCGCAGGGAGGGGGGCUGCCCCACUCCAGACAGUGUCUAGGACAGGCAUAACUCUCUGUAAUUAAUCCCACCCCUUCAACAUUGGGCCCCCCCUCCCUAAACACAGACUCCCCGCCUGUAUUAUUAUGCACUGUUAUUGACAAACAUCAGGCAGGGAUAGCAAUCGCUAUCAUUCUCCGUCCCCGCACCGAGCUGCUAACUGGCUUUGAGCUAAUAGUUGCCCAGUCUCCCCCGCUAAUAGUGUGCCCCCCUCGCUCUUUUCCAACGUCCUUUGGCUCCCCCCAAAAUAAUGCUAGCUGCCGUUGCGUCGAUUUGCUGCAUUGCCCAGCCAUUUUGGCCGGUGCAUCAACGGACUCUCCCCCGCCCCCCAGUCUGCUGCAAUGACUGAAGGAGGAAUAUUCUAGCUCGACGCCACCUCCGCCCCCCACUCAGCCGCUGGGAUAGAUGUUCAUGUCCUCCGAUAAAGUCUCCGGCGAGUAAAGACGGAUGGGUGGUCUAGGAGGUCGCCCUCCAGCCAUCCUUCCCUGUUAGCAAUAAUGAUAAUAAAAAUGCUAUACCUGGCUCUGCCCCCAGCCGCUCCCUUCCAAUCUCCCCCGCUGCAACAAUUUCACAGACACCCCACUUCUUGCACGCACACCCCGCGCGAGCAGCAGCGCGAGGAGCAUUUGCAGCAUCGCUGCAGGAGGAAAUGCUGUGGGGUUCUCAGCCAGCUCCCCGCCGCCGCAUUCAGCAGCUGUCAAACUGGCGCUCGCUCUCGCCUCCCUGAGCCCCAUCGAUUUCGGUGCACCCACUUCGUGACAUCUCGCCGCCGUGCCCGGAAUGGCACCUCUGUGCGGGGACAGGGCUAAGGUGGGGAACGGGCGCUGAGAGCUGCGGCGGGCAGCCUCCCUGGAAGGGCAGCAGAACGUGUGGCGAGCCUCGCUCUGCCGGGAGACGGGGUGCUGUCCCUGGUGUUGAAAUCCUCGGCGCUUACCUGAUUGACGACUUCCAUCUUUGCUUGGGGAAAGCGAGGGCGACGCAGCAGAGCGCAGG